AAGCGCAGUUACUAUUGAAAUCGCUGAAAACAAGUACAUGGAACCUUAUGCUUUGUCAUUUAAGAAUACAUACCUCAUGGCUUUAUGAAGGUGAUGCGUUAAGUUUACGGAAAGCGCUUGCUAAGUCCGUGUACGCAUUCGUGCAAUUCGACUUCGCCCUGCCAUCUGCUAGCCGCCUUGUUAGCUCAGGUUUCCCUACAGUAGGAAAUUGCUGGGCAGGCGGACCAGCGCACCGGAAUCGUACUGGCGAAUUCGACAAGCAAGUUAUAGAAUCUGUUUAAUUGUUGCACUUCGAACAACUGUGCCCAAUUAUGCUUCUACAAAGGCCACAGCAGAAAAACCGCCUGAUGCUGAGUAUUUCUGUGCCACGAAGCAAUCAAUUAAGAGGAGAGUGCCUAAUACGGACAAAAUCGAGUGCAUGAACACAAUGCCUACGCCUAGCCACAGCAGCUCCUUCAUGCAGACUCCGCAAGCCAAGAGGCCGUGGAGGCAAAUGCAGGUAAGAGGCAGAAAGCAAUAGCACCGGUAUUGACAUUAAUCUAAUUUCGUUCUUUUUUUUUUACAUUUAGGACGCCAGCACACCUAGAACAGCCACCUUGACUGCAGGUGUGUCGCCCUAGCCACCAAAGAAACUUUUGAGGGAAAGUGACAGGCAAUGUCAACAGCCACUUCUCCAUGUAAACGAUACUCUUUCUCUCAGAUGACACCUACGCCUCGCCACGCCAGCUCAUCUGUGCAGACUCCCCCAACAAUGAUGCCGCAGAGGCACGUGCAUGUCAGAGGCAAGAAGCAGUGGCACUGGUGUCGAUAUUCACCCAAUUUCUUUCUUUUUCUUACAUUGAGGAAGCCAGCACACCUCGAACAGCCACCUCGACUGCGGGUGUGUCAUCAGAUUCCUGUUGUGCAUAUGUUCAUAAUAAACAUCAGUAAACUUGAACUUGAUAAUAAACUUGAAGGCAAAUGAGACAUCGGUGCAUUACCUUUUUGAACAUUUAGUGUACACAUACAAUAUAUGUUAUACCUUGCAAUGCUACAGAGCGUAUUUUGAAGCUUCCCUCUGCAUUUUGCACUUUCAAUACAUAUGUAUUGUGUGGCCCUCAAUGCAGUUAAUGUUGUAGCAGCUGCUUUGUCUGUGUAUUGCACAUUGGAUUAAGCUUGUGAUAUCCACAUGUGCAACAGGCCGAUACUUCUCUCACAUAUACCAAAUAAGGCUCUGUGUAGUUCUCAGUGUUACAAUAAAAAAUAAAAUUAAACAAUCCCUUCGUGCAAUUGUGUUUGUUACAGCGAUUCCUAUGACGUUUAUUGACAAGUUGAGAACUUGAACUGGUACAUCCGUCAUGGGAAGGAAUUGUAUGUAUACAUAUAGCGAAAAAAGGGGGUAUGUGUGUGUGAUGAUGUUUUGACAAGUUCUGUUGGUUAAAGCAAUACAUGCCAGUUUAGCUCUUGUCACUAUCAAUAUGCAUUACCGCAAUACAGAGGAUGCCUCGCUAUAGCACACGUCCUCCGUAGUUAGCCGAGACCCUAGGUGACAGGUUCACCCUUGCCGCCUUUAGCUUAUCUCUGGAAAACACAGUGUAUUGCGGUGAAACAUACUACAGCACAUUUAUCAGUUUAGAAUGCAAAUACCUUUGCCUUCUGCUUUUGUGAUACACUAGGUAUAAUGAGGACAUAUUCACUACUAAAAACAUCCAUACUGAAAUGAAGAACACUGAUGUCAGCAUGUGUGAUGUUUUAUCCUUUUCUUUUGUUGUGUACGUCAUACUGCCAUUAUUAAAUUUUCCUCUAAUUUGAAAGGUGCCGACGUGCAUAACAUCACAUUGCAAGGAGUCUGUGUAAUUAGUGUUCAAAGACCAGUGUGAUGGCUUUUCUGAAGAGAGGUUGGGGUUAAGCUGCUGUUAAUAUUUUUUUUAGAAGGGUAGUUUUCCAUGAAGAAAUCGCAUAUCAGAAAACAGACCUGUGGUAUGCUGGGUUUGAGCAUGUAAUGGUGGAAAUGAUGCAGAAUACAUUAUUAUAUUUUUUUUUUGCCUGAAACCAAGAACUAGCUGAAAUAUGUGAAAUAUCUUAAAUAGCAUCCAUGAGCAACUGCAAGCUGCGCACACCUAGACUCGAAACACAAUUCUCUUGCUUCAGUCCAAGGAGGUUUUUGCUGCUUUGUUGAAACCUCAAGUACAUUCUCAGUGGCACAGUAAUUUCUGUCUACCUUUCGCUCAAGUGUGCCCUAUACAUAAGAGCGAUUUAUACUUGCAACUGGGCAGCAGCCUUACCUUGGCAAACCAGUGGGAG